CUCUUAUUCAGAGUGGUGGAGAUACAGAGGGUCUGUGAAGCCACGGCAACCCCGCAUAGACGGAAGGUGCCAGCCUGAGCGAUUAAUUCGAACAAUAAGAG
rnacentral:ncRNA from 2 species